UUUGCUCUGCGUGCAUUUAGUUUCAUGGUUCGCUUCUCUCAGAUCACUAUUAUGCUCAUAGUGAGUGCCACCUUCCGUAAUGCUGUUUAUCGGUGAGUUGGAAAUGUUUUCUGGUUGUGUUUUAAGGGUGUUUGGCCUGAAAAGUUGGAAAUGAUUUCUGGUUGUGUUUUAAGGGUGUUUGGCCUGAAAACUCUAUUAUGCAAAAAUACUUUCUAAAAUAAUGCGUUGUUCGCCGUGAAGACAGUCUCAGCUUCACUAGAUUUUUCUCUCUUUUUC
rnacentral:lncRNA from 1 species